rnacentral:tRNA from 1 species
UCGGGAAUCGAACCAGGGACGCCCGCGUGGCAGGCGAGCAUUCUACCACUGAACCA